rnacentral:misc_RNA from 1 species
CCGGGUUAUACAACUCAUCAACCCUGUGAACAUACCUAUAACGUUGCCUCGGCGGGAACAGACGGCCCCGUAACACGGGCCGCCCCCGCCAGAGGACCCCCUAACUCUGUUUCUAUAAUGUUUCUUCUGAGUAAACAAGCAAAUAAAUUA